GCCAGCAGCGUGGUGUGAGAUAGCUGUUUUGAUGCUUGGUUUCUGGCCGCUUCACAACCUACGGAGUCCUGGCCGGUGUUCACAGAAUUACAGAAUGGUUUGGGUUGGAGGCGGCCUGUGGGACCAUCUCGUUCCAUCCCCUGCUACAGGCAGGGACACGUACCUCUAGGCCAGGCUGCUCUCAGCCCCACCCAGCCUGGCCCUGAGUGCUUCCAGGGAGGGGGCACUCACCGCCUCACUGUGCAGCCUGUUCAGUGUCUCACCACCCUCACAGUAAAGAAUUCCUUCCUUUUUUCUGCCAUCUCCACGUGGAGUACACGAGGUUGUGCUCACAGGGCUUCCCGUGGUUAAAUACUUGGUAACUGCGCUGGUGUAUAUAAGGGGUGGAAAAAGGGAGCAGGGUGAUGCCUCUUACUGCUGUGCAAGCAGCUGGGGUGCCUCUGUUUCUCCAGGAGAAAUGAAAAGUAGAGCGCGCAGCCAUGGAAUGGUUGGUUUGCGUGGCUAGGGAUCACACGCAGCUCAGCAGCUGGUACCUUGCUUACACCCUUCUUCAUCCUUUGUGCACUUGCAGACCCUGUGUCCUGCUAACCAGAGGCCCAGCAGCAGUGUAAGGGCUGAGGUGGGUCUGGAUGAACGCUGUCAGCUGUGCGGUAUCGGCCCCAGUCAGCACUGACCACAGCAUGUAAGUGUGAGCCAAGGCAGUGGGUGACUCAGUCCUUUCACUACUGAAGCAGAGUGUUUGUGGCUUUUUUAAGAGUCAGCAGAGCUUGUGGGCAAGAAAUAUGCAAUACUAUGAACCAUAUUCAGUAAAUAAUGAGAUAUUCCCAGAUGCACUUCAGGCCAAGUAAAAUAUGCAGCUGGGCCAGAUGACUUAAAUUUUCCAGCUAUAAAUUGCAGCAAUUCUCCAGCUGUAUGCAGUAAAAUACAAGUGAAGGGCUCUCCCUUCAGAUCUGGUAUUUAAACUUGUGGAAAUAAUGGCUCUUUUGAAAAUGUACAGCCCUGAAGAAAAGCGUAAUUUGAGGAUGCUCUGGAAGCGAAAAAGAGAUGGACAACAGGGGUAUUAAACCUUCGCAAGGUCCACUUUUUGGUCUGAGAUCUGACUGCUUUUACACCUUCAGCAGUAUGGAACCAGGAGCUCUGCAGCAUCUGGGAGGAGGUGAGCCAUGAGGCCUGCAUGCUGGAUGCUCCUUUUGCUCUCCGAGACUGGACUUUGCUUUAAACCAGGUGUGCCACCGAACCCUGCCUGCUCACACCCUCCCGGGACUUGAAUGGUUCCAGGCAAGGACUGGGAGAACAUCUGCAGGGAGCAUCCUGCCCUCAGCACACCCUCACCUGUCCU